rnacentral:lncRNA from 1 species
AGUAUCAAGGGAUAAUUUGGGUCCCCACAGUACCAAAGCAUUUAGAAACCUCUGCUUAAUUUAAAGAAUGAGAUAAAUUACUGCUUUUCUAGACUUCCUAGCAUGGGCCGUUGUGCUGGAGAGAACGAGAAAUACGAAGAGACCAGAAUGCCUAAGACUUUUUCAUAGGCCUGUUGGCCGGUGAAUCUUACUAAUAGUUUACCACAAUUCAGUGUUCACUCUUAGUUUAGAAGGGACAGGCGUUUAUUGUGCAUUGGCCAGUGCCAGCACAUCCGAUGCAAGGCAUUUCACCGUAUUCUAUCUUUAAUUUUUACCAUGAUCCUCUGAGGUAGGUGUUCUUAUCUCUUUCUCUCUUUUUUGAACAGAGGAAGACACUUAAACAUAAAGAUGAAGUGCCUAAUUCAAGGUCACACAAUGUCGGGGAUGGACCUCCAGAUUUCCUUACUGACCUGCAUUAUCUGUGGAUAUCUGAGUGAAUUACACACCACCCAUUUUAUAGAUGAAGCCACUGAGACAUGGAGCAACUGACUGAGUAGUCACUGCCCCACCCCUGGAGCCUCACACAUGACUCGUCUCCUCUCUCUCAGUGACCACAGGUAAGACAUGGUCUUGUACCACAGUGGUUAAGAAUGUGACUUUGGAGCCAGCCUGCUAGGGGAUGAAUUCUGACUCAGCCAUUUACUAACUGGGUGACCUUAGAUAAAGGAAACUGAGGCCCAGAGAAGUCAAACACUUUGAGAUCUCUGUAGGCCCCUACUGUGCUGGCUGUGCAUAGAUUCUGUACCUCCUGCUGUUGCUGUUGUUGGCUCUCCACCUUUACCAUGGCCAUCACGUUCUGACCGUGCUGGAGCUGAGCUGCUGGAAUGACUCAUUUUUCUUUUUUCUUUUCUUUUUUUUUUUUUUUUGAGACAGAGUUUCGCACUGUCGCCCAGGCUGGAGUGCAGUGGCGCGAUCUCAGCUCACUGCAACCUCUGCCUCCCGGGUUCACGCCAUUCUCCUGCCUCGGCCUCCCGAUGGGACUACAGGCGCCUGCCACCACGCCCGGCUUUUUUAGUGGAGAUGGGGUUUCAACGUGUUAGCCAGGAUGGUCUCAAUCUCCUGACUUCAUGAUCCGCCCACCUCGGCCUCCCAAAGUGCUGGGAUUACAGGGGUGAGCCACCCUGCUCGGCCCCCUUUUUUUUUUUUUGGAGACAGAGUCUCGUUCUGUCACCAGGCUGGAGUGCUGUGGCGCAAUCUCGGCUCACUGCAACCUCCGCCUCCCGGGUUUAAGCAAUUCUCCUGCCUUGGCCUCUUGAGUAGCUGGGAUUACAGGCACACGCUGCCACGCCCACCUAAGUUUUGUAUUUUUAGUAGAGAUGGCAUUUCACUGUGUUGGCCAGGAUGGUCUCGAUCUCUUGACCUUGUGAUCCACCUGCCUCAGCCUCCCAAAGUGCUGGGAUUACAGGCAUGAGCCACCACACCUGGCCCGUGACUCGUUUUUCUAACACAUCAGGCCAUAGCCUUUCUUCAUGUCUUGCCUGCUUCAUACCGUAAAUCGGAAACUCCUCUCACGAGGCUUCUGACUGUAGCCUGACCAUCUCACCCGAUCUCUUCUUCAAUCCCUCUUCCCCGCUCCCCUUUAUUUUCCCUUUCCUAUUCUGUCUUUAUUUUUACUUUUCAUGCAGUGUCAGAGAAGUGUAGUGACAAUGUCGGGGGAGGAUCCCCCAGCUGCCUCUGGCAGUUGGUUUUGUACUUCCCACUUCUGGCGUAGUAUACCUUCUAGAAUUUCUGUCAGUAGACAAUUCAAAUCUUGUGUUUUUCUUUGGAGCUUUCAACAUCUUGCACAUAGCUUAUAGUUACAUGGCUGUGAACAGAGAAGGGGCAGUUUCAUGGUGGCAUUGGCUGUGAGGGCACUUACAUUGAUGAAUUCAACCUACCACAGUGGCUGUCUCCCCUGUCAAAGUGAGUGAGGGGAUGAGACCAUUUUCUGAACCAGCUCAUCUCCCUGAAUAUGGGCUUUUCUAUUGGCAUUUCAUUGCUGGCUGUGGAAUCUUGCCUCUUUUCCAAUAAGACUUUUGGCUUUAGAUCCUGUUCUUGUUCUUACCCACUCUCAGUAAACUGAACUCCGGGAACCACAUCUCUUUUGUUUGCUGCUGCAUCCAAGGACUGAGCAAAGGCCUGAUACUUACUAAUCCCUCAAGAAAUAUUUAUUGAAUGAAGAAAUGAAUAUUGACCUGGAAAGUUCAAACUCUUGACUUUCCUUGCUUGUUCCUGAAGUUAGAGGCCAGAUUAAGAAUUUAACAGUCUUAAGCAAUAGAAAAAUUAUGAUGUCCCUCAUACUUUCAUCCCUCAGUAUGUAUUUUAAAAGCAGUGUAAAUGCAAAAUAAGUAUAAAGAAACCUAGCAAAAUGUAAAGAAAAUGCAGCAAAAUUCUGAUUUUUACCAUGGUUACCACUUUGAUAAAUAUAAAAUAAC